ensembl:lncRNA
AGACCCUCCUCCUGAACUAAGGUACUGGCUAAUAGAGGCCCCCUCCUCCUGAACUAAGGUACAGGCUAAUAGAGACCCUCCUCCUGAACUAAGGUACUGGCUAAUAGAGGCCCCCUCCUCCACCCUCCUGAACUAAGAUACUGGCUAAUAGACCCCCUCCUCCUAUACUACGGUACCAGCUAAGAGAGCCCCACCCCUCCUAAAGUAAUAGAGGGCAUCCUCCUCUUAAGCUAAGGUACUGGCUAAUAUAGCCCACCCCAUCUCUUAAUCUAAGGUACUGGCUAAUAGAGGGCCCCCUCCUCCUCUUAAUCUAAGGUACUGGCUAACAGAGACCUCCCUCCUCCUGAACUAAGGUACUGGCUAAUAGAGGCCCCCUCCUCCUGAACUAAGGUACUGG